CCUACGGGUGGCAGCAGUGAGGAAUAUUGGUCAAUGGUCGGAAGACUGAACCAGCCAAGCCGCGUGAGGGAUGAAGGUUCAGAGUAUCGUAAACUGCUUUUGUACGGGAACAAAGGCUGGUACGCGUCUCCGUAUGAGUGUAUCUUAAGAAUAAGCAUCGGCUAACUCCGUGCCAGCAGCCGCGGUAAUACGGAGGAUUCGAGCGUUAUCCGGAUUUAUUGGGUUUAAAGGGUGCGUAGGCGGUCGGUUAAGUUAGCGGUCAAAGCCCGGGGCUCAACGUCGGGACUGCCUUUGAAACUGUCCGGCUAGAGUGGAGGAGAGGUAGGCGGAAUGCGUGGUGUAGCGGUGAAAUGCUUAGAUAUCAUGCAGAACACCGAUUGCGAAGGCAGCAUGCCGGGCUAAGACUGACGUUGAGGCACGAAAGCGUGGGGAGCAAACAGGAUUAGAUACCCCAGUAGUC
rnacentral:rRNA from 1 species